GACGAACGCUGGCGGCGUGCUUAACACAUGCAAGUCGAGCGGAGCGGCGAACGGGUGGGUCACGCGGGAGUAACUGCCCCCCUCUCGGGGGUAACGGUUGGACACGGCUGCUAAUACCGGAUAGUGGGGGAUGACUCGCGUCCUAUCAGCUUGUUGGUGGGGUAGUGGCCUACAAAGGCGACGACGGGUAGCCGGCCUGGGAGGGCGACCGGCCCAAUUGUGAUGAGACACCGCCCAGAACCCUAAGGGAGGCAGGAGUGGGGAAUUUUCCGAAAUUGAGGAAAGUCCGACUGAGCAAAGCCGGGGGAUUGAUGACGGCCCUCGGGUUGGAAAGCUCCGUUAAGCGGGACGGCGAAUAGUGCGAGCAGUUGACGGUACCCGCAGAGAAAGCCACGGCUAACUACGUGCCAGCAGCCGCGGUAAUUC
rnacentral:rRNA from 1 species